rnacentral:rRNA from 1 species
UUAAGCAUAUCAAUAAGCGGAGGAAAAGAAACCAACAGGGAUUACCCUAGUAACGGCGAGUGAAGCGGUAACAGCUCAAAUUUGAAAUCUGGCCUUUACAGGUCCGAGUUGUAAUUUGUAGAGGAUGUUUCGGGCAAGGCUUUGGUUUAAAUUUCUUGGAACAGAAUGUCAUAGAGGGUGAGAGUCCCGUCUAGAACCGAUCGCCGCGUCCAUGUGAAACUCCUUCGACGAGUCGAGUUGUUUGGGAAUGCAGCUCAAAAUGGGUGGUAAAUUUCAUCUAAAGCUAAAUAUUGGCCAGAGACCGAUAGCGCACAAGUAGAGUGAUCGAAAGAUGAAAAGCACUUUGAAAAGAGAGUUAAACAGUAUGUGAAAUUGUUGAAAGGGAAGCGCUUGCAACCAGACUUGCGUGUAGCGGUUCCCCCAGUCUUCUGACUGGGCUAUUCCGUUAUAUCCAGGCCAGCAUCGGUCCGGGUGGUCGGUCAAAGGCCUUGGGAAUGUAUCUACCUUCGGGUCGACUUAUAGCCCAGGGUGUAAUGCGGCCUACCUGGACCGAGGAACGCGCUUCGGCUCGGAUGCUGGCGUAAUGGUUGUAAGCGGCCCGUCUUGAAACACGGACCAAGGAGUCUAACAUCUAUGCGAGUGUUAGGGUGUCAAACCCUUGCGCGUAAUGAAAGUGAACGGAGGUAAGAACCCUUAAGGGCGCAUUAUCGACCGAUCCUGAUGUCUUCGGAUGGAUUUGAGUAAGAGCAUAGCUGUUGGGACCCGAAAGAUGGUGAACUAUGCCUGAAUAGGGUGAAGCCAGAGGAAACUCUGGUGGAGGCUCGCAGCGGUUCUGACGUGCAAAUCGAUCGUCAAAUUUGGGUAUAGGGGCGAAAGACUAAUCGAACCAUCUGGUAGCUGGUUCCUGUCGAAGUUUCCCUCAGGAUAGCAGUAACGUUUUCAGUUUUAUGAGGUAAAGCGAAUGAUUAGAGGCCUUGGGGUUGAAACAACCUUAACCUAUUCUCAAACUUUAAAUAUGUAAGAAGUCCUUGUUACUUAAUUGAACGUGGACAUUUGAAUGUACCGUUACUAGUGGGCCAUUUUUGGUAAGCAGAACUGGCGAUGCGGGAUGAACCGAACGUGAGGUUAAGGUGCCGGAAUAUACGCUCAUCAGACACCACAAAAGGUGUCAAUGCAUCCAGACAGCCGGACGGUGGCCAUGGAAGUCGGAAUCCGCUUAGGAGUGUGUAACAACUCACCGGCCGAAUGCAUUGGCCCUGAAAAUGGAUGGCGCUUAAGCGUGUUACCUAUACCUCGCCGUUAGAGUUGUAAUGAUGCUCUAACGAGUAGGCAGGCGUGGGGGUUUGUGACGAAGCCUUGGGGGUGACCCCGGGUCGAACAACCUCUAG